CUAACCUGCUAAAUAGUACAGUUGCAACAUUACAUGGACCUUCAUGCUGCUGCUUCGGUAGUGACAUGGAACCAUGUAAGCAGGUGAGACUUCUUAGAGGGACUAACACUUCUUUUAAAGUGUACGAGGAAGAGCAAUAACAGGUCUGUGAUGCCCUAAGAUGUCCGGGGCCGCACGCGUGCUACAAUGACGAUGCAAGUGAGCAUGAUUUGCCUGGUUCGAAAGAAUUGGGAAAACUGUUUAAUCAUCGUCGUUACUGGGAUUGGGGUUUGCAAUUAUCCCCCAUGAACGAGGAAUUCCUAGUAAGCACAAGUCAUAAGCUUGUGCUGAUUACGUCCCUGCCCUUUGUACACACCGCCCGUCGCUACUACCGAUUGAAUGUUUUAGCAAGGUCAUUGGAUCGGCUAUUUGUGGUUCACCCUGCAAUCAGCUGAGAAGAUGACCGAACUUGAGCAUUUAGAGGAAGUAAAAGUCGUAACAAGGUUUCCGUAGGUGAACCUGCGGAAGGAUCAUUA
rnacentral:rRNA from 1 species